GACGAACGCUGGCGGCGUGCUUAACACAUGCAAGUCGAACGGAAAGGCCCGGCUUUUGUGGGGUGCUCGAUUGGCGAACGGGUGAGUAACACGUGAGUAACCUGCCCUUGUCUGUGGGAUAACUUCAGGAAACUGGGGCUAAUACCGGAGAGAAUCUCCUGCUGCGUGGGGGGGGUUGGAAAGUUUCGGCGGUUGGGGAUGGACUCGCGGGUUAUGAGCUUGUUUGUGGGGUAGGGGCUGACCAAGGCUUUGACGGGUAGCCGGCCUGAGAGGGUGACCGGCGACAUUGGGACUGCGGUACGGACCAGAAUCCUACGGGAGGCAGCAGUGGGGAAUAUUGCACAAUGGGGGGGAGCCUGAUGCAGCGACGCCGCGUGCGGGAUGACGGCCUUCGGGUUGUGAACAGCUUUGGCAUGUGACGAAGAGUGAGUGACGGUAAUGGGUCAAGAAGCAACGGCUAACUACGUG
rnacentral:rRNA from 1 species